AGGCUAAUAUUUUGGAGAAAAUCAAUUAGAGUCUUAAAAACUAAAAAAUAGUAACUCGGAAGAAUAAAUCAGAUCUGCUAAAGAGAGAGGUACAGCUGAAUGUAAAUUAAUUUAAGAAUAAAAAAUGAAAAAGUAUGAAUAAACACUAGAGAAAGAAAAUAAAUGGGAAAUUAGGGCUUGUUUUGAGGGAGAGCUGAGGGGAGGAAACAACAGAUGGGUUGUGUGAGUGGCCAAACAACGGUC
rnacentral:lncRNA from 1 species